GCCCAGCGGCCUUUGGCUGGAUCUCACCGGGCGGUUGGCGCCGUUAGUCUCGCGGAGUCGAGCCUGUCGGUGUUCCUGGUUCUGAACGCCCGCCCUAUCGCCAUACAGUGGAUAAACCGCUCUCUGGUUAGGGUGGGACAGACUGCAAGGAGACCCCGCCUGGCCCGGCCUCCGGGUAGAGGGCACUGCUCAGGGCGCAGGAACCUGUUGAAGCCACGGCAGCAAGCCAGUGAAGAAACUGCUAGGACCCCCAGGCGAGGAUGUAGGCAGGUGGAGAACGAGCCGGUUCAUCCAUGAAACUGUCCCAAGGGCUUACCGAGCCUGUGCACUUCUAAAUUGCACAGCGAACCCGAGGUGGAGACUUGGGGAGAGUACCAUACAAGCUGCCAGGAGGCUGGGACCUGGGGCCUGCUCUGAAGUCUAGCUUCCUUCUGAAAUAUCCAGGAAGGUAAUAAGGGGAUCCCGUGCCCAUCCGAGGCUCCUCCUUCAGCUCACGCUCAGAGGUCUGCGAAGGAUAAAUAGUUCUCCACUUUUGUCUGAAUUGUUCAAGGCCACGGAGCAACUCGUUAGAAUCGGAGCCACAGUCAGGAGAUCCAUCUACACCUCAGCUGCUGUAUGGAUGAAACCUCUUUUCUUGUCGUCUUGCCUACAGUUCCUUUUCUCUCCUAGGAUGGUUGUGGCACCUUGGAGACAGACCCAGGAGCCAAAGUCAUAGAACAGACCAGGGUCUGGCCACCUGUGGACCUCCUGUCCAUGCCCAUAACCAAAGACCACCAGGAACAAAGUUGGAUUUACUGAUUUGUUGCCGACGACGUACGGGUAUAGCCGAGGAGUCCUGGGGCGUCUCAGUACGAAGGUGUUACAAGGGACUUAGAACUUGUGUUAAAAACCGUAGCGGGGGGGGGUGGAGUUUCAAGGAAGCGGGGGUUCAUUCUGGACUGCAUGCUUUCAGGAAGCAAGAUCCAUUCUGUGAUUGAGCAUCUCAAUUUUCAUAGAGAAGCUGAGACAAAGGCAGAGCUAAAACUGCGGUUGGUAACCAGACAGCCAUCGCUGGGGGGCGGGGGAUGUUGGGUGGUUUUUGUGGUUUGCACAGUGGCCUUCAUUUUGUCUGUGCUUGGACACAAGGGUGGAAUAGUCCUGUUUGGUCAGGCCUUGUCUGAUGGUGGCUAUCCAAGAGACUGGCUCUGUUCAGGCCUAGCUGUGAGCACCUGGCUGAUCAGAGCUAGCUGCCAGGGACUACUUUUCUCUUUCUCACCGCAAAGGCAAAGCCUUGACCUUCAAGGGCCAGCCUUCUGUCCAUCCUAGUCUCAUAUUUUCAUGUUGGGAUAAGGAUCAUCACACUGGAAAAGGAAGAGGGAUGGACAAGAACAGGGAGGGGGAGUUUCCUGGGGGUGGGGGUGAAAUAGCAGCCUAGCUUAGGGUGUUCAUGGCUCUGUGACUUGAACGGAUCCAGGGUUCCCUUCCUCUAUUGGAGGAAGCUCUGAUAAAGAGGUGGGGGGAGGGCAGUAAAUGGCCAUUCUUAGUACAGAUAGUCCUCACUUAGAAACACGAUCCAUUCUCUUAGGAAACCUAGGUGGAGUGAUCAUACGUCCCAAUUUUCUGGUACAUUCCUGCUCUCAAGUGUUACAACUACUCGAUUACUGUGGAUAUAGUUUUGCUACAUAUUUUAUAGAAUUCAGAUUGUGUAGUGAAGGGAAUCCAUUACUUGUCUGACCCUAUGAGGAGCAGACAGCAAAAUGGAAUUAGAAGUGCAAGAGAUUUAUUAGGGGGAACACCUGUGAGGGAUCAAGGGUUUGAGGGAGCAGGAGCCGGCAGGGGGAGCCCUCUGCAGUUCGGCAAGGGGGUGGGGGGUGGAGGGGACGCUUGUGCGGGCUGACCCGGGGAGAGAGGGACUGGGUAGGGAGAACCACGGGCCGCAGUGCACUUCUGAGAAAAUCUUGGCCAAGCUGCUGGGGACUCCCUAUGUUUACCUGCCUCAUCAGAGGAGUCCCCUUAUUUAGCGGGACAGUGUGGCCUCGAUGCCCCUGUCCUGCUCAGUCAUUGCCCAGAGGCAGCGAGGGAAAGACUGGCCUCCUGUCCCUGGGGGGCAGCAGCCGAGGCUGGGGCUCUCUUGUAGACAUCUGGGCCACCCCCCCCCCCGGGGGGCCAUACAUUUCUUCAGUGGACGGUUCGCUUAUUUUGAGCCAUUGAACCAGUUUAAGUGCCCCCAGAAGCGGGCACCAAGAUGGGAUUAGACAUGCAAGAGAUUUAUUGAGGGGAAUGGCCGGCAGGAUGAAGGGGGGAAAGAGAAGAGAGGGAAAAAAAAAAAAAACACAAAACCCUACACAAAUGUGAUACAACCUGUGUACUACUGGUGAAGAAAUAAAUUCACAGAAGAGGGUUGUUUGUU